AGUGAACGCUGGCGGUAGGCCUAACACAUGCAAGUCGAACGGCAGCACAGUAAGAGCUUGCUCUUACGGGUGGCGAGUGGCGGACGGGUGAGGAAUACAUCGGAAUCUACUUUUUCGUGGGGGCUAACGUAGGGAAACUUACGCUAAUACCGCAUACGACCUACGGGUGAAAGCAGGGGAUCUUCGGACCUUGCGCGAUUGCAUGAGCCGAUGUCGGAUUAGCUAGUUGGCGGGGUAAAGGCCCACCAAGGCGACGAUCCGUAGCUGGUCUGAGAGGAUGAUCAGCCACACUGGAACUGAGACACGGUCCAGACUCCUACGGGAGGCAGAAGUGGGGAAUAUUGGACAAUGGGCGCAAGCCUGAUCCAGCCAUACCGCGUUGGUGAAGAAGGCCUUCGGGUUGUAAAGCCCUUUUGUUGGGAAAGAAAAGCAGCAGGUUAAUACCCCGCUGUUCUGACGGUACCCAAAGAAUAAGCACCGGCUAACUUCGUG
rnacentral:rRNA from 1 species